AGGCUCCUACGGGACGCAGCAGUGAGGAAUAUUGGUCAAUGGGCGCGAGCCUGAACCAGCCAAGUCGCGUGAGGGAUGACGGCCCUACGGGUUGUAAACCUCUUUUGCCGGGGAGCAAGGGCGGGGACGUGUCCCGGCCCGGAGAGUACCCGGAGAAAAAGCAUCGGCUAACUCCGUGCCAGCAGCCGCGGUAAUACGGAGGAUGCGAGCGUUAUCCGGAUUUAUUGGGUUUAAAGGGUGCGUAGGCGGGCUUUUAAGUCAGCGGUAAAAAUUCGGGGCUCAACCCCGUCCGGCCGUUGAAACUG
rnacentral:rRNA from 1 species